AUACUUACCUGGCAGGGGUGAUUCCAUGAUCAAGCAGGUGGAUCACCUAGAGUGAGGAUCAGCCAUUGCACUUCGGCUUUCUGACCUCUAUGAAUUCUCCACAUGUGAGAAUCUCAACUGCAUAAUUUCUGCUAGUGGGGACUGCGUUCGCGCUUUCCCCU
ensembl:snRNA U1 U1 spliceosomal RNA